rnacentral:rRNA from 1 species
CGCGCAGGUGGUUGAUCAAGUCUGGCGUGAAAGCCCCCGGCUUAACUGGGGAGGGUCGUCGGAGACUGGUCGACUUGAGGGCAGGAGGGGUUGGUGGAAUUCCCGGUGUAGUGGUGAAAUGCGUAGAGAUCGGGAGGAACACCCGUGGCGAAGGCGGCCAACUGGACUGACCCUGACACUGAGGCGCGAAGGCGUGGGGAGCGAACG